UAUGUAGUUUCCGGCGGCCACGACAAG
rnacentral:piRNA from 1 species